GAGUGGUGGUGGCGGUGGUGGCGGCGGGUGUUAUUGUUUCCCUCCAGUUCAGGGAGGGGACUUCAAAUUGUUUAAGAAGCAGGAAGAUUCACUGGCAGUAAAGCUCUGUAGCAUGUGCGUGACACCAUUUCCCCUUUUCACUGAGUUCUUCCGAGCAGCUCUAGGGCUCUGAACGUGAAUGUGGUCAGCAAACAACUCGAAGAAGGAGUCUUAAUACAGUCCCAGCCCUCCUGCGAGGAUCGCCUGGCCGGGGACUCGGGCUGAGCUGGAGGAUGAAGGGUUAAAAGGCCUAUCUCGAUGGAAACUACAAAAUUAAAGUAAAAUAUUCACCGUCUGCUUUUAGGGGGAUUUUUAUAGACUUAAAGAUAAAUAAAUGAAUGACUAAAAAUACAGUCAAUCCCACCUUGCUUUUUACUUCAUCCUCUUUCUUUCUUUCUUUCUUUCCCA
rnacentral:lncRNA from 1 species